rnacentral:rRNA from 1 species
AUUGAACGCUGGCGGCAGGCUUAACACAUGCAAGUCGAGCGGAGAUGAGGUGCUUGCACCUUAUCUCAGCGGCGGACGGGUGAGUAAUGCUUAGGAAUCUGCCUAUUAGUGGGGGACAACAUUCCGAAAGGAAUGCUAAUACCGCUUACGUCCUACGGGAGAAAGCAGGGGAUCUUCGGACCUUGCGCUAAUAGAUGAGCCUAAGUCGGAUUAGCUAGUUGGUGGGGUAAAGGCCUACCAAGGCGACGAUCUGUAGCGGGUCUGAGAGGAUGAUCCGCCAGACUGGGACUGAGACACGGCCCAGACUCCUACGGGAGGCAGCAGUGGGGAAUAUUGGACAAUGGGGGGAACCCUGAUCCAGCCAUGCCGCGUGUGUGAAGAAGGCCUUAUGGUUGUAAAGCACUUUAAGCGAGGAGGAGGCUACUGAGACUAAUACUCUUGGAUAGUGGACGUUACUCGCAGAAUAAGCACCGGCUAACUCUGUGCCAGCAGCCGCGGUAACAC